rnacentral:rRNA from 1 species
GAUGAACGCUGGCGGCGUGCUUAACACAUGCCAGUCGAACGGAAAGGCUCCUGCUUGCAGGGGUACUCGAGUGGCGAACGGGUGAGUAACACGUGGGUGAUCUGCCCUGCACUUCGGGAUAAGCCUGGGAAACUGGGUCUAAUACCGGAUAGGACGAUGGUUUGGAUGCCAUUGUGGAAAGUUUUUCGGUGUGGGAUGAGCUCGCGGCCUAUCAGCUUGUUGGUGGGGUAAUGGCCUACCAAGGCGUCGACGGGUAGCCGGCCUGAGAGGGUGUACGGCCACAUUGGGACUGAGAUACGGCCCAGACUCCUACGGGAGGCAGCAGUGGGGAAUAUUGCACAAUGGGCGGAAGCCUGAUGCAGCGACGCCGCGUGGGGGAUGACGGCCUUCGGGUUGUAAACUCCUUUCGCUAGGGACGAAGCGCAAGUGACGGUACCUGGAGAAGAAGCACCGGCUAACUACGUG